UCUGUACGAUCGGCCUCCUGGGAUGC
rnacentral:piRNA from 1 species